rnacentral:rRNA from 1 species
GACGAACGCUGGCGGCGUGCUUAACACAUGCAAGUCGAACGGUAAGGCCCUUCGGGGUACACGAGUGGCGAACGGGUGAGUAACACGUGGGUGAUCUGCCCUGCACUUCGGGAUAAGCCUGGGAAACUGGGUCUAAUACCGGAUAGGACCACUGCCUGCAUGGGUGGUGGUGGAAAGCUUUUGCGGUGUGGGGUGGGCCCGCGGCCUAUCAGCUUGUUGGUGGGGUGAUGGCCUACCAAGGCGACGACGGGUAGCCGGCCUGAGAGGGUGACCGGCCACACUGGGACUGAGAUACGGCCCAGACUCCUACGGGAGGCAGCAGUGGGAAUAUUGCAAAAUGGGCGCAAGCCUGAUGCAGCGACGCCGCGUGAGGGAUGACGGUCUUCGGGUUGUAAACCUCUUUCAGCACCGACGAAGCGCAAGUGACGGUAGGUGCAGAAGAAGGACCGGCCAACUACGUGCCAGCCGCCGCCGUAA